AUGGCAAAUGACAAGUGGAGGGUGAUCGAGAGGUUCACAAGUUUACAGAAGAGAAACCUGGCUGUUGCAGUGAUCCACAUGUGCCUCCAUGUGCUGCGUAUGUUUUUUCUCUCUCACACGUAGAUUUUGUAUUAUGUUGACAUAUCUCAAUGGGACCCGGUUGAGAUCCCUUGGGGCAAUUAUGGGGCUGAGUAUAUUGUUGAAUCUUCUGGGGUCUUCACAACAACUAACAAGGCCUCAGUCACAAAAGGAAAAAAUGAUACAUUCGUGC